rnacentral:rRNA from 1 species
GGGGGGGUACGCGUUUAAGAAUAAAUUUUAUAUGCCUUGGGAUUUAAAGUCUAUAAAAGUGUUAUAUUGGGUUAAUUUUUUAUUUUUGUAGUCUCAAAGUUUUAUUUUGGCUUGGAAUUUUAGUUUACUUAUUUUUUUACAUGUUAGGUUUAAAUGCUUAUAUAGCUUUUUUUGCAGUAUUUUAUAUUGGAAAUUUGGUUAUUCGAGAUUCAGAAAUUAGUAAGAGUUUUAAUUGAACUUGUGCCAGCAAUUGCGGUUAUACAAGUAAUGCAGCUGAAAUUUUUUGGUUAGUAAUUGGUUGUCAAUGGUUAUGUUUUAAGUUUAAAUUUUAGGGGUGAAAUUUGGAAUUUGGCUUAAGGUUUUAUAUUGGUUGUGAAGUUGUUAAAGUUUGAUAAUAAACUAGGAUUAGAUACCCUAUUAUUCUGACUGUAAAAUCUCGUGCCUGAUUAUUAGUAGAUUAUUUUCUUGAAAAUUAAAAAAUUUGGCGGUAUCUCAGUCUAUUCAGAGGAAUCUGUCCCGUAAUCGAUAGCCCACGAUUUGCCUUACUUCUUUUUUUAGUUUGUAUAUCGUCGUGCUUGACUAUUUCAGUAGAAUAAGAAUGUUCAGUUCUUUUUAUAAAAAGGGAUGUCAGAUCAAGGUGCAGCUUAUGGGGAAGUUGGGGGAAGAUUACAGUGAGUUUUAUUUUUGGUUUUCUUUUUUAAAUGGGAGUAAUAAAUAGGAUUUGAUAGUAA